CAAAAAGGACGUGCUCUUGAAUCGCUGGAAAAAGGAAACCUCGUAAACUGCGGCAGUGAAUAUGAAGCCUCGAUUGAAACAUAUGCGCAGAGCCGCAGAGUAAUCCGACGUCGCUGGAAUCAUUACUCAUCAUGAACUUGAAUCGUCGAUUGAAACAGUUGUUUCAUUAAUCAAACAUCAAGACGUGAAUUCUUGGAACUCAGAGUCACAGGCUAGAUAUUUUGGCUUGGAAAUCGGUUUUGAGGUGUCGAUUUGGCUAGGUUGGAACUCAGACACUCAGUCUUGAUUUGAUGAUUCAAUAUUGUGGCUAGCUUGGAACUUGGCAGUGUGGGUACCCAAUGUGGAUUUGGAAUUUUGUUUUGGAAGUAAAUUCAGUUUUGGAACCCAAUGUGGAUAUUUAGUUUUGCCGAUUUGGAAUUCAGUUAUGCCGAUUUAGAAUUUUAGCUCAGAAACCCCAGUUUUGCGAAUUGUUACUGUGGUUGGCUUGGAACGUGGCGAUGUUGCAGUUGUACUCAGGUUAGAUAUUGUUAUUUGUUUUUUUUUUUUUUUUUGAGAAUUAGGGCUUGUUAUUCUUUAAUUAGUUGCUGAUUCAAGUUUUUGUUUAGGUAAUUAGGGCUUAUUUGGUGAUAUAAUUUUGCUAUUUAGGCCUUUAGGGCUUGUUUGUUUGCUUAUUUUGAUUUGUUGUUUAGGGAAUUAGGGCCCAUCUCUUAAAUAAAUUUAUAUCUAUCGAAAACAUAUAACAUU